GGUUCAGUUAGGUGAUUUUUGCAAUUAGACGCUUCAGUGCAGCGUGGAGUUUGUUGACUUGACAUACACACAUGUGGCACUCAGCACACCAGGAUUUAACAAGCACCCAUCCCUGGCUCCAAGGUCAACUAGAACUUGUUUUUGAACAGCUGUUGAAUGCUUGAAGUGCAAGAGGUAAGGGACCAGUCAACCAAGACACUGCAUUCUGUGACCCUACCAUCCCGUAGGGAUUUUUGAGGGAAGAAAAGGCUUCCAACAUGUAAGCAUCGGCAGCCAAGAAGACACCAUCCACACUUAAAAGUUAAGGCAUUUACUUCUCAACGUGUGUGGUGACGUUUAGAAUCAUGCUUGAAGCUGAACCAGAAGGAAUCCGUGCUUAUAUUCUGCUGCAGCAUGAGACUCUACAUACAUGGUAAAACAUUUGCUUUUGACAUUCCCGAUUAACCUUAGCACAUGUGGCAGAGUGGGUAGCACGUGAGAUAUUAGCAUCAAAGACCCGAAGAAGAUAGUUGCUCAAGACAUUUUAUGGAAAAUGAUUCUCCCACACUGUGAUUCCAGCACAUACAUGUAAACACAAGUGACAAAAAAAGCCUCUUUCGGUUGACAUACGCAUUGAGGGUGUCCAGCAAACAAGCACCCGUAAGUGGUUUGAUGGUCAGUCGGUGACGUUAGUUGGAACAGCUUCUCAAACAGGGAUGCCCUUGGACAUGAGGGUCCACAUUCAAGAGGAGCCAUUUGUUUGUGACGUUUGUGGCAAAGUUUUCUCAAACAGUAGCACCCUUCGAUGACACACGAGAAUCCACACUAAGGAGAAGCCAUUUGUUUGUGAAAUUUGUGGCAAGGGCUUCUCAUGUAAUAGUCAUAUUCGAGAUCAUAAAAGAAUCCACACCACUGAGAAGCCGUUUGUUUGUGAAAUUUGUGGCAAGGGCCUUCUCACGUAAUAGGUCUCUUCACAGACAAAAAUAGGUCCACACCAAAGAGAAGCCAUUUGUGUGUGACAUUCGUUGCUAGGGUUUUGGGGGAUUUCGGUUUUAAUAUUUGAUAAAAUAUAUUGAAUUCCUUCGUUCCUACUCAUCUAUGAAAUAUCUUUGUAAAAAAGCGAAAAGCAAUUGACAAAAAAAUCUCCCCCCCCCCUGCUGGAUACGCCACAGUCCAGAUGUCACGACCAUUAGACUUAAGGACUUAAAUGGUACAAUGUGCUAUGCGCACGGAUUGUUUAUGUGAACACAAGUGCCAUGACUCUGUAGUGAGCUCAAGCUCCCGAGUUGAUGUUCAUGUUCCAAAGUGUGCGUACAGUGUGCACCCAUCAAUGGGAAAUGUUUACACUUUGGGCCAACCUGUCUCGGCUAAAUGACCAUUGGACAGAACGGCAUCUCUGAUACUUUGAAGGACUAUGUACUCAAGCUUCAGGACUGACAAGGGUUUGUGAAGGGAUGCAUAGCUGCCACUGCAUCGAGAAUACAUGCGACUGCACAACUAAACAGAUGUAUCGACUGAUCAGGUUUGUUUGUUUAUUCAGAAUUCUGUUGAAAAAGGCCAAGACAUUGUGUCAUGCUGAAAGUCAAAGCUAUCCUUCUCCUAUGAAGGGGGGCUUUAGCCAUCA
rnacentral:lncRNA from 1 species